rnacentral:rRNA from 1 species
GACGAACGCUGGCGGCGUGCCUAAUACAUGCAAGUCGAACGCAUUUUCUUUAACCGUAGCUCGCUACACCGAAAGAAAAUGAGUGGCGAACGGGUGAGUAACACGUGGUUAACCUGCCCAUUAGCGGGGGAAAACACUUGGAAACAGGUGCUAAUAUCGUGUAACUCCAUUUACCGCAUGGUAGAUGGGUGAUAGGCGCUCUUGUGUCACUGUUGGAUCGACACGCGGUGCAUUAGCUAGUUGGUGGGGUAACGGCCUACCAAGGCUGGGAUGCAUAGCCGACCUGGGAUGGGGGUCGGCCACACUUGGAAUGAGACACGGCCCAGACUCCUACGGGAGGCAGCAGGAGGGAAACUUCGGCAAGGGAGGGAAGUCUGACCGAGCAACGCCGCGGGAAUGAAGAAGGUUUUCGGGUCGGAAAACUCUGUUGUUAGGGAAGAACAAGGAUGGGAGUGGAAAGUUCAUCUCUUGACGGUAACUAACCAGAAAGCCACGGCUAACUACGUG